rnacentral:lncRNA from 13 species
CCAACACAAACCCAGGACUGUCCCACUUAAACCUGUCGUCACUGAAGCAGAAAAACCACCUUAUUUCUGCCAGACAUCCUCCCUGCAAUUAACACCAGCAACUGCCUCGCUCUCCUCUCACCUGCAGAGACCCAGGGCCCUGAGGUGCCCUCACCUCUCUGCCUCCCAGCUCUGGGUGACCCCAGUGCCACUGUGUAUGGUGGAGCAGGCUAUGAAUGGCACCCCUGCAUUGUGUAAUGUAGCAGGCUCAAGACCGAUGGCCUUACUUCCAAGGCUGGGGAAGACCCUUGGGGAGCAAGUGAAGUCGUUUGGUGAGAGUUAGUGGGAGAAAGAGUGGUCUAUUAAUUAAUAACUCGAAAUGUCAUAAGGCCACAUUAGCUGUUGAGCUAAGGACUCACACCUAGGGCUCCUGACAGCCCAGGACUUCCAGGCCCUCACCGUUGCCUUUCUCAAUUCCCCAGAGAGCCGAAUUCCCAAGAGCAUUCUUAGC